ACGGCUUUUCUUAUGGGCGAGUUUGGCACAGGGAAAAUUUCUGCCGCUAGGUGCGCUGGCGUAGCUAAAGGGUAACAACACUGCCAUUUUAUGAGGGUGAACGUGAGAAAACCGCAUUGAAGUCAAUUAAAAUAGUCGGUAUGGUAUUUGGUUAUGUGCUUUUUGUUUGCAAGAAUUAUAUUGAACAAGUCUUCCGUAAAGAAUGUGUGAAUUUCACAACUUUAUGGCUUUUGGAUACGUAAAUAAAAACUACUGCGUUUUUGUUUCGCCGCGAGCAAUCGAAUCUGCAUAUGAAGUGUGCCGUCACCCGACCUCAAAGGCCCGGGGGGUACCUGACGGGCGCUACGGGCGUCGCGAUGCUGUUGUUGUCCAGAGGGGCGCCAGGCUAGCGGGCUGCUAGGCCGUUGAUGUUGGGUCGUGGGUACUCUGCCCCCGCGUGCUCCGCCAGGCUGUUGAUGGUGAAAGAAACAAUUCUGGCUGAUAUUUGGUGGAUAAUUCCCACAUGUCAAUAUACUCCAAGAAACCACGAAGUGUCU